GUGCUCACUUCAGCAGCACAUAUACUAAAAUUGGAAUGAUACAGGGAAGAUUAUAAUGGCCACUGUGCAAGGAUGACAUGCAGAUUCGUGAAGCAUUGCAUAUUUAA